rnacentral:hammerhead_ribozyme from 1 species
GCACUGCUGAGGAGUCCCACAAUAGGACGAAACGGCUGUCCAAUUU